rnacentral:rRNA from 1 species
AUGCAUGUCUAAGUGGAGUAUUAUAUAGCGAAACUGCGAACGGCUCAUUACAACAGAUAUAAUUUACUAGUUCUUGAUCCUAUAUGGAUAACUGCGGUAAUUCUGGAGCCAAUACAUGCAACAAGCCCCGGCUCUUCUGGGUUCGGGGUGCAAUUAUUGGAGCAAAACCAGUCUUGAACUGUUUGCUAACUCUGGAUAAUUCUGCUUAUCGCAUGGUCUCGUACCGGCGAAGUUUCUUUCAAGUAUCUGCUUUAUCAACUAUCGUUGGUAGUUUAUUGGACUACCAUGGUGUUGACGGGUAACGGAGAAUCAGGGUUUGACUCCGGAGAGGGAGCCUUAGAAACGGCUACCAUGUCUAAGGAUAGCAGCAGGCGCGAAAAUUACCCAAUACCAACGCGGUGAGGUAGUGACGAGAAAUAACGAGAUCGUUCUCUUUGAGGUCGAUUAUUGGAAUGAGUACAAUCCAGAAAUUUUAACGAGUAUCUACGAGAGGGCAAGUCUGGUGCCAGCAGCCGCGGUAAUUCCAGCUCUCGUAAUGUAUAGAAUUAUUGUUGCGAUUAAAAAGUUCGUAGUUGGAUUGUCACGCGGGCAUGGGUCCAGCUUCGUGUUGCGUACUCAAUGCCCGCAUUUUGUUGGUUUUCGCGGCGUCGAUUCGUCGGCGUUCGUGAUGCCAGCAGGAUUACUUUGAACGGCUCAAGUGCUUAACGCGAGUCUUAUGACUGAAUACCGGUGCAUGGAAUAAUGGAACAGGGUUGCGGCCGAGUUUUAUUGGUUUUGUCGGCUGAAACAAUGGUUAACAGGAACAGCCGGGGGCAUUCGUAUCGCUGCGCGGGAGGUGAAAUUCGUGGACCGUAGCGAGACGCCCGACAGCGAAGGCAUUUGCCAAGAGUGUUUUCAUUAAUCAAGAACGAAAGUCAGAGGUUCGAAGGCGAUUAGAUACCGCCCUAGUUCUGACCGUAAACGAUGCCAACUGUCGAUCCGCUUGUGGAUUUUAUUCAUAAGCGGGGAGAUUCCCGGAAACGAAAGUUUUUCGGUUUCGGGGGAAGUAUGGUUGCAAAGCUGAAACUUAAAGGAAUUGACGGAAGGGCACCACCAGGAGUGGAGCUUGCGGCUUAAUUUGACUCAACACGGGAAAUCUCACCCGGCCAGUACAUCGUGAGGAUUGACAGACUGACAGCUCUUUCAUGAUUCGGUGAAUGGUGGUGCAUGGCCGUUCUUAGUUCGUGGAUUGAUUUGUCAGGUUUAUUCCGAUAACGAGCGAGACUUUAACUAUUAAAUAGUGCGUUUGUUGCUUUCCAGCUGCGAACGAACACUUCUUAAAGGGAUUUGUGGUCUCCAACCUCAAGAAAUUGAGCAAUAACAGGUCUGUGAUGCCCUUAGAUGUUCGGGGCCGCACGCGUGCUACAAUGGUGGUAACAGCGUGAUUGUCCUCGCCCGACAGGGCUUGGCAAACAGUUGAGAUAUUAUUAUGGCUGGAAUUGAGUGUUGAAAUUUUCUCUCAUGAACGAGGAAUUCCAAGUAAAUGUGAGUCAUUAACUUGCAUUGAUUACGUCCCUGCCCUUUGUACACACCGCCCGUCGCUGCCCGGGACUGAGUUACUUCGAGAAAACUAGGGAUCGUUGACGUUCGAUGUUUCGGCAUUGGCUUUAAUGCGAACUAGUUUAAUCGCAGUGGCUUGAACCGGGCAAAAGUCGUAACAAGGUAGCCGUAGGUGAA